rnacentral:rRNA from 1 species
CAGUCGAGCGGGGUGAUGUAGCUUGCUACAUUACCUAGCGGCGGACGGGUGAGUAAUGCUUAGGAAUCUGCCUAUUAGUGGGGGACAACAUUCCGAAAGGAAUGCUAAUACCGCAUACGUCCUACGGGAGAAAGCAGGGGAUCUUCGGACCUUGCGCUAAUAGAUGAGCCUAAGUCAGAUUAGCUAGUUGGUGGGGUAAAGGUCUACCAAGGCGACGAUCUGUAGCGGGUCUGAGAGGAUGAUCCGCCACACUGGGACUGAGACACGGCCCAGACUCCUACGGGAGGCAGCAGUGGGGAAUAUUGGACAAUGGGCGCAAGCCUGAUCCAGCCAUGCCGCGUGUGUGAAGAAGGCCUUUUGGUUGUAAAGCACUUUAAGCGAGGAGGAGGCUACUUGGAUUAAUACUCUAGGAUAGUGGACGUUACUCGCAGAAUAAGCACCGGCUAACUCUGUGCCAGCAGCCGCGGUAAUACAGAGGGUGCGAGCGUUAAUCGGAUUUACUGGGCGUAAAGCGUGCGUAGGCGGCUUUUUAAGUCGGAUGUGAAAUCCCUGAGCUUAACUUAGGAAUUGCAUUCGAUACUGGGAAGCUAGAGUAUGGGAGAGGAUGGUAGAAUUCCAGGUGUAGCGGUGAAAUGCGUAGAGAUCUGGAGGAAUACCGAUGGCGAAGGCAGCCAUCUGGCCUAAUACUGACGCUGAGGUACGAAAGCAUGGGGAGCAAACAGGAUUAGAUACCCUGGUAGUCCAUGCCGUAAACGAUGUCUACUAGCCGUUGGGGCCUUU